AGGUCAGGACACGGUAAGGAUUGACGGACUGAAGGCUCUUUCUCGAUUCCGUGGAAAGUGGUGCAUGGCCGUUUUUGGUUGGUGGAUCGAUCCGUCUGGUUAAUUCCGUUAACGAACGAGACCUCGGCACUCCGAAUAGCGCGGCGGACGUCGCGGCCUCCGGGCCGUCUUCCGCACGAGCUUCUUAGAGGGACCGUCCCCCCGCCGGGGAAGGAGGUGCGAGGCAACGACAGGUCUGUGAUGCCCUUAGAUGUUCUGGGCCGCACGCGCAUUACACUGACGCGUCCAACGGGUGACUCCCGACCCGAAGGGGCCGGGGAAUCCGCAAGGCGCGUCGUGAUGGGGAUUGAACGUUGCAAUUGUUGUUCACGAACGAGGAAUUCCUAGUAGGCGCGGGUCAUCAACCCCGCGCCGAUUACGUCCCUGCCCUUUGUACACACC
rnacentral:rRNA from 1 species